rfam:Pedobacter heparinus DSM 2366, complete genome.
UAAUGGUGGAGCAGCAACCACUUGUAAAAACGGGCGGGCCGAAAAGCCAAAAGAGUAGGAACACA